GCCACCCUGAUGCACCUACCCCCAACAUGUAGAAAUUGAAAUUUCACCUACACCUCAGUCAUAGAUGAUUUAUAAUUAAUAUAUUAUUAAUGAUUGACUAUUUAAUAAAAUUACACAUACUAAUGAUAAAUAAUAAUACAUUUUAUAGUGUCAAUGCAUGAUUCAUAUCUUAAUUAUCAAUCAUCUUUAACUAAAGUUUUUUUAUUUUUUAAAAACUGAGCUAAUAUUUGAAUCGCGGAAGGGGUAAGAAGGUGAAGGAAGGUGACUGAGUUGAUUUUGAAGCGUUGGAAGUUCAGAAAAAGGGCAACGUUGGAAGGAUUAGGUGACAGAGAUUAAGAAAUAUGAAGAAUACGACAUUGCAUUGAAUGGCUGCAGCAGCACCUAACUUGGAAGAUGUUCCUUUUUUUGAUCUUAUGUCUGAGCUUAUUCGUCGUUUCAAAUGUUCCUACAGGACUCACAAGCGUCUCAUUCUUAUUG